CUGACAAGUGAUCACGUUCACAGCGAAUAUAUAUUUUAUGCUACUCAUAAUUCUCAUCAUUUUCUGUGUAACAAGACUCUAACGACAUUGCAAAAGCAAAAACUCAAAAUUUUACUCCCUUAAAAUAGCUACAGUAUCAAGGCAGAGCAGCAACAAAAAUGGGAACCAAAGUCAUUAUCAUGUUGUUUUUAUGUCUUAUCGAAUACGUAAUUAUUGACGCAAACCCCAUACGUGACCCAUCAAGUAAAGAUCAAACCGAUUUUGCUCAUGAUUCAGAAACCAAUUCGGGAAUUAUUUCAAGCUACAAACAAUAUCAAUUCCCUGCAAUGAGGUCUCUGUUAAUGACUCGGAUGAAAAGAUCGCCCUACUUCACAAAUUGGGUAUACGGAAAGCAAUGGGGUUAAAUUUUGUCCAUUUAUUUCGCAUUUUUAAUAUAACAAAGUGUCAAAUUUUUGAUAACCUAAUCUCGAAAGGAAACAAGAUAAUUUUGUAAAUCGUUUGAAAUAAAAUAUUUGAAAUA